GAAGAGAGGGAGAGUGCUCUGGUGGGGAAGAGGCAGGUGCGCCGCUAUCACGAACACAUUCAGACCACGAGCUGACGCAAGUUGAAAUCAUGCUUCUCUGUUUUUCUAGAAUUGGGUUUUGGUGUUUCACCGACGAGCUGACGCCAGAGAGAGAGAGGGAUGGGGUUGGUGUGGGUGCGAGUGGGGGGCUGAACAAGGGGUGCUGGGUUUGUUGGGCUGAGGAGGGGCUGGGAUUUUUUAAGAAUUCUCAGAGGUUUAAUAAUUUGCUUUUACAAAUACCAUGAUCGUUUUGGGAAAUCUCUCUUUCUGGAGGCAGAUUCCAGAGUUGUUUAAGGGAAAUUCGUAGUCGAGCUACCGAUGUUCAUGAUAAGGAAAAGGGAAUCAAGAUUACUAAGAAGGAUUGGGAAAAGUUGAAUGUACAAUUGUUUCAUACAACAAUUUUCCUACUGCUGCUGGAUUGGCUUCCUCAGCAGCUGGUUUUGCUUAUCUUGUUUUUGCCCUCGCAAAGUUAAUGAAUGCGAAUGAAGAUCACAGCCAGCUUUCUGCUCCUGUAAUCAAUCUGAGAUUUUAAUAAGCCAUCGCAAUCUGACUAAGUUUUACAGAAUACUUAACACAAUAGUAAGUGCUGAUAUCGACCCUGAAGAACGUCUCCUUGACAGUAGCUUAAUUGAUUUUGACAGAGCAAGCCUCCUUUAUGCCAUUGGGAAUAAUAAUGUG